rnacentral:rRNA from 1 species
UGGGGAAUAUUGGACAAUGGGGGCAACCCUGAUCCAGCAAUGCCGCGUGUGUGAAGAAGGUCUUCGGAUUGUAAAGCACUUUCGACGGGGACGAUGAUGACGGUACCCGUAGAAGAAGCCCCGGCUAACUUCGUGCCAGCAGCCGCGGUAAUACGAAGGGGGCUAGCGUUGCUCGGAAUGACUGGGCGUAAAGGGCGUGUAGGCGGUUUACACAGUCAGAUGUGAAAUCCCCGGGCUUAACCUGGGAGCUGCAUUUGAUACGUGUAGACUAGAGUGUGAGAGAGGGUUGUGGA